GACGAACGCUGGCGGCGUGCUUAAUACAUGCAAGUCGAACGGAAAGGCCCUGCUGUUGUGGGGUGCUCGAGUGGCGAAGGGGUGAGAAACACGUGAGUAACCUGCCCUAGACUGUGUGAUAACUUCAGGAAACUGGUGCUAAUACCGGCUAGGGGCGCCUGAUGCAGGGUGGGGGAUGGAAAGUUUCGGCGGUUGGGGAUGGACUCGCGGCCUAUUAGCUUGUUGGUGGGGUAGUGGAUUACCAAGGCGUUGACGGGUAGCCGGCCUGAGAGGGUGACCGGCCACAUUGGGACUGAGAUACGGCCCAGACUCCUACGGGAGGCAGCAGUGGGGAAUAUUGCACAAUGGGCGGAAGCCUGAUGCAGCAACGCCGCGUGCGGGAGGACGGCCUUCGGGUUGUAAACCGCUUUCGCCUGUGACGAAGCGUGAGUGACGGUAAUGGGUAAAGAAGCACCGGCUAACUACGUG
rnacentral:rRNA from 1 species